CUUCUUCCACCAGUGGUUUGUUGUCUCAGCCGUUGGAUGGCCGGCCAUGGCUGCAGAACUGCGGAGCUUCAGAUGAAACUGAGACUGAAGGAGCAACUGAGCCAUGUUUAGCCGCCUGAAGGAGCAUCCAAACUGAGACCAUCUAGCAUCCACCAGUUGAAUCCUCUCUCAGCGCGCCACUCACAAACAUGGCUCAGUUCUUCAGCGUCCCAACUAUGGUUUUCCAUAGUUUUUUGCAGACCCAGCCAAAGUCUAUCCUGAAAACACAGGCGAGUAAUGUGAUGGAUUGGUACGCGUGAAUAUAUUGCAAGGUUAAAACGGAACGAGGAAGAAAUUUGAAGCUUAGUCUUCUAGUUUUCUUUCUUUGUUUUAUAGUUUUGUUCUUGUAUAUGUGAAACUUCUCAUUUGAGAUCUAGAGUCUAAGAACUCUUGUAAAUCUUUUGGAUGCAGUCAUUUGAGAUCUAGAGUCUAAGAAUUCUUGUAAAUCUUUUGGAUGCAGUCAUUCCCAUGUGAAUGAUGAAAGGCGGAACUUUUCUAUAAUCUAAAAAAAAAGUUGUCUCUUGUUUGGAGCU